GACGAACGCUGGCGGCGUGCUUAACACAUGCAAGUCGAACGAUGAAGCACCAGCUUGCUGGUGUGGAUUAGUGGCGAACGGGUGAGUAACACGUGAGUAACCUGCCCCUCACUCUGGGAUAAGCCUGGGAAACUGGGUCUAAUACUGGAUACGACCGAUCUCCGCAUGGAGUGUUGGUGGAAAGUUUUUGUGGUGGGGGAUGGACUCGCGGCCUAUCAGCUUGUUGGUGGGGUAAUGGCCUACCAAGGCGACGACGGGGAGCCGGCCUGAGAGGGCGACCGGCCACACUGGGACUGAGACACGGCCCAGACUCCUACGGGAGGCAGCAGUGGGGAAUAUUGCACAAUGGGCGAAAGCCUGAUGCAGCGACGCCGCGUGAGGGAUGACGGCCUUCGGGUUGUAAACCUCUUUCACCGGGGACGAAGCUAACGUGACGGUACCUGGAGAAGAAGCACCGGCUAACUACGUG
rnacentral:rRNA from 1 species